GAUGAACGCUGGCGGCGUGCCUAAUACAUGCAAGUCGAGCGAACAGACGAGGAGCUUGCUCCUCUGACGUUAGCGGCGGACGGGUGAGUAAAACGUGGAUAACCUACCUAUAAGACUGGGAUAACUUCGGGAAACGGGGGCUAAUACCGGAUAAUAUAUUGAACCGCAUGGUUCAUUAGUGAAAGACGGUUUUGCGGUAACUUAUAGAUGGAUCCGCGCCGCAUUAGCUAGUUGGUAAGGUAACGGCUUACCAAGGCAACGAUGCGUAGCCGACCUGAGAGGGUGAUCGGCCACACUGGAACUGAGACACGGUCCAGACUCCUACGGGAGGCAGCAGUAGGGAAUCUUCCGCAAUGGGCGAAAGCCUGACGGAGCAACGCCGCGUGAGUGAUGAAGGUCUUCGGAUCGUAAAACUCUGUUAUUAGGGAAGAACAAAUGUGUAAGUAACUAUGCACGUCUUGACGGUACCUAAUCAGAAAGCCACGGCUAACUACGUG
rnacentral:rRNA from 1 species